rnacentral:pre_miRNA from 1 species
ACUUCUGGGAGAGCUCUGCCCGUGUCUGCCCGUCUCUGGACAUUCAUGAAGCGCGCAAGCGACCUUGAGGGAAUGCGGACGGAGCUGGCUAGGAGGAUGAACAUUCAGGGACGGGCAGAAACGGGCAGAGCUCCCCGAGAAGU